GACGAACGCUGGCGGCGUGCCUAAUACAUGCAAGUCGAGCGGACGUUUUUGAAGCUUGCUUCAAAAACGUUAGCGGCGGACGGGUGAGUAACACGUGGGCAACCUGCCUUAUCGACUGGGAUAACUCCGGGAAACCGGGGCUAAUACCGGAUAAUAUCUAGCACCUCCUGGUGCAAGAUUAAAAGAGGGCCUUCGGGCUCUCACGGUGAGAUGGGCCCGCGGCGCAUUAGCUAGUUGGAGAGGUAAUGGCUCCCCAAGGCGACGAUGCGUAGCCGACCUGAGAGGGUGAUCGGCCACACUGGGACUGAGACACGGCCCAGACUCCUACGGGUGGCUG
rnacentral:rRNA from 1 species